GACGAACGCUGGCGGCGUGCCUAAUACAUGCAAGUAGAACGCCGUUUCGAACGGGUGAGUAACGCGUAGGUAACUUCCUCAUUGCGGGGGAUAACCAUUGGGAACGAUUGCUAAUUCCGCAUUGUUUUAGAUGGACCUGCGUUGGAUUAGGUAGUUGGUGCGGUAAAGGGUGACCAAGGCCACGAUACAUACCCGACCUGGGAGGGAUGUCGGCCACACUGGGACUGGGGCACGGCCCAAACUCCUAAGGGAGGGAGCAGGAGGGGAAUAUCGGCAAAGGACGGAAGGCUGACCGAGCAACGCCGGGGGAGUGGAGAAGGUUUUCGGGGUGUAAAGGUCUGUUGUGAGAGGAGCGGUAACUAACGAGAAAGGAACGGCUAACUACGUGCCAGCAGCCGCGGUAAUUC
rnacentral:rRNA from 1 species